CAGAUAUUAUUUUAAGUUGAAGACGAAAGGUACAUUUUAGUCCUUUAGCUAGAGGAGAGAAUGAUAAUUUUUUUUUUCUCAAGGUAGAUGUAGGGUUAAAGGGUGAGGAGAAGACAGAUGGUGUUGGAAAUGAUCAAAAAAAUAUCAUUCCAGGUUAGCCUGUAGGACUGGGUAAUAUACUGGAACUUGUGAACAAAUGAGGCCCAAUUAGCUGUGAAAGAACCCAGUCUUUUUUUGAUCUGUGAAAGGUCGUACAAAGAAAAGGGUACACCUGACCAUGCCUUCAGCUCUCGCCACUUCACAAAGGGGCAUUUGUGUCACAGGGGUUAUUGGUGGUAGAGUAGGAUAGUGGGAGUGAGUAUCGGGCAGAGAAAUGCAAGAUGGUGGAGGGGAAGGGGGGAUCACAAAAUGGCAGCAGGGGAGAGUCAGAGUCAUGAAAUAGAAGUUUACAAGAUGGCAGAAGAGAGGAGGGAGCACGUGAAAGAUUAGGGUCACAAAAUGGAGGUUUGGAAGAUGGCCAUGGAGAGGAGGAAGAUGUGUGGAGAAGGCACGAACAAGGAGCAUGCAUUGGAGUACCGGUGUACUCCUUGCUUGAAGAUGGAACAGUCAUCAGGGCUUCAGCAGAAGAGGUUCAAGUAUGGAGAAGAACAACGGAGUUGGUCAGGAGGCCAUCCAUGUAGUCAUAGCAUUGGUAGGUUAUUCCACAGCCACUGAUAGCAUCUAGGUGACUGAAAGUUAUGGGUGGAGAGAAUGGCAAGGGAUUCAUAGUAGAUCCUUAUCU
rnacentral:lncRNA from 1 species